GCUAACUGAAAUCAUUAAUUGAAUAACUUCAAUAUGAUGUGGUAAGGGAAAAUAAUGAUAUUACCUUACUUAUAGUGUUGUCUAAAGCUGGUGCCAGAAGACUCGGUAAAGCCAGAAACGCAAACGUUAAUCAUCAUAAACAGGCGUAAAGGGUUAGUAGGCUGCUUUUCAAUUAAUAAUUUAAUCUUAACCCCUUAAGUUUAAAAAUAAAAAAUAAAAAAAUUUUAUUAUUUUAUUUAUAUUAAUUUUAGAGCUAGAAUCAAAAAGAAGUUAAAAAGUAUAAUACUUAGAGUAGGGAUAAUAUCCUCAGAUCCUAGGGGGAAUACUAAAGGUGUAAACAACUAACUAUAAAUGAUUGACGCUGAGAGACGAAGGUGAGGACAGGAAAUAGGAUUAGAUACCCCGGUACCCCUCUCUGUAAACGAUGAAUGGUAAUCAUUAGUAUAUUACUGGUGGUAAAGUUAACACGUUAACCAUUCCGCCUUGGGAGUACGACUGCAAAGUUGAAAACAAAAAAAUUAGUCGGUCUCGAAGCAAACGGAGUGAAGCAUGUUAUUUAA
rnacentral:rRNA from 1 species